CGGAGAUGAGGGUUUGGGUCACCACAACAGGAAUUGCAUAAGUUGACUAGAAUCAGCAAUCAUCUGUCCUGAUCUCAGGACAAUCUGGUGUAUACAAAGCCCAAGACGUGGAAACUCAGUGAGAAGUCAUCAGUCAGCAUCCUGAGGGGCUGUUCCAGGCCAGUUCUCCUGGAGGAAUCACCUACAAUCCCUUGAGAAGCCAUUGCAGAUGGAAGCUACAAGAGGAGAGGAA